CACGGAGGCCCCAAGCGUUGUUCGGAAUUACUGGGCGUAAAGGGUGCGUAGGCGGCGAGGUAAGUCAGAUGUGAAAGCCCGGGGCUCAACCCCGGAAUAGCAUCCGAUACUGCCUUGCUUGAGGAUUGGAGAGGAGACUGGAAUUCACGGUGUAGCAGUGAAAUGCGUGGAUAUCGUGAGGAAGGCCAAUGGCGAAGGCAGGUCUCUGGACAAUUCCUGACGCUGAGGCACGAAGGCCAGGGGAGCAAAAAGG
rnacentral:rRNA from 1 species